UUGCCUAAUGCCGCGGUGCAUUCAGUUCAGCAUCAGUCCACCUGCUGUCCGGGUGCCAAUCUGCUUUGCUUGUCCAGCAAUGACACACCGCAGCCUGAAGUUUCCUUCGUCCUCGCUCCUGCUGCUCCUCGCUAUGCUUCUCUGCCUGUUCGCAGGACUUGCGAACAGUUGUUGCCGCUGCUGUUUGGGCGAAAGUUGCACGGACCUCAACUGCUGCCCCUGGUGUCCAAGCGCAGUGACUUUAGAUUGGAGGACGAUCUCUUGAAGGAUGAAACCCGUUGCACUAUGUAUACAUUUUUGAUCCAAAUAACGCUUUCAACAAAUUUAUUUCCCGUUUGCAAUAUUUCAAUGUCCAUAAUCAUAUGGGACUGACGAUAAAAUCGAUUGUUUCGAGGACCAGGUU
ensembl:ncRNA lncRNA:CR44480 long non-coding RNA:CR44480